rnacentral:rRNA from 1 species
AAUAUUGGAUAAUGGGGGAAACCCUGAUCCAGCCAUGCCGCGUGUGUGAAGAAGGUCUUCGGAUUGUAAAGCACUUUAUGUUGGGAGGAAGGGAUUUAGGUUAUUACCCUGAAGUUUUGACGUUACCAUCAGAAUAAGUACCGGCCAACUUCGCGCCAGCAGCCGCGGUAAUACGAAGGGUGCAAGCGUUAAUCGGAAUUACUUGGCGUAAAGCGGGCGUAGGUGGUAUGUCAAGUUGGAAGUGAAAUCCCCGGGCUUAACCUGGGAACUGCUUUCAUAACUGCUGAGCUAGAGUACGGUAGAGGGUGGUGGAAUUUCCUGUGUAGCGGUGAAAUGCGUAGAUAUAGGAAGGAACACCAGUGGCGAAGGCGACCACCUGGGCUAAUACUGACACUGAGGUGCGAAAGCGUGGGGAGCAAAC